AUGCCCUCCAUCGUCUCCUUCUGCCUCCUGAUGGUCUUCAGGUUCUUGUCAGAGCUGAACAGCUCGAGCGUGACUUCCUGGAAGUACACGGACCGCUCCUCCUCCGCCCUGAUGGCCGCGACGGCCGACUCCAGCACGGCCUCGUUGAGCUCCAGCACGCGCAUCAGCCCGUCCCGCGCGCUCUCCCGCUCCAGGAUCCGCCGCGUCUCCAUGGACUCCACCUCCCCGAGCACGUACGCGUUGGCGCGCUUCACGGCGUCGAGCUCGUCCACCGCGACGUCAAGCUCGUCGCGCAGCGCCUCGCACUCGGCCGCCGCCUGGGACUGCCUGGUGGUGAUGGCGACGUUGUCGGCCUCGAGCUCGGUGAUGCGGCGGUGCGCGUCCAGGCACGCCCGGUCGUACUUCUCCGAGAGCUCCUGCAUGGACUUCCGCAGGGCCUCCAGUUUCAUGUGCGCCUGCUUGUUCUCGCUCUCCUUGGCCUCCAGCUGCAGCUUGCAGGUCGCCAGCUCCUUGGUCACGACGUCGAUCUCCUGCCCCUGCACUUGCAAACAACACGCGUCAGAUAAGAUCGACGGAUUUGAGAAGGAACUAGAUAUGCAGUUGUGUGAUUGUGCGAAGCAGUGA
rnacentral:rRNA from 1 species